GGACCUAUAGCUCAAUUGGUAGAGCAUUCGACUCUUAAUCGACAGGUUCACGGUUCGAGUCCGUGUAGGUCCA
rnacentral:tRNA from 1 species